UGAUUGAGGGUUCGCCGGGGAUAACAGGUUCUUGAAUCCCAAGAGCUCCAAUGAAAGGAUUCUGAUGGCACCUCCAUGUCGUCUCAU
rnacentral:rRNA from 1 species